CGGCUCAGUAACACGUGGACAACCUACCCUUAGGUCGGGGAUAAACCCGGGAAACUGGGUAUAAUACCCGAUAGAUCUCGGCUGCUGGAAUGCAUCGAGCUCUAAAGCUCCGGCGCCUAAGGAUGGGUCUGCGGCCUAUCAGGUAGUAGUGGGUGUAGCGUACCUACUAGCCUACGACGGGUACGGGUUGUGAGAGCAAGAGCCCGGAGAUGGAUUCUGAGACACGAAUCCAGGCCCUACGGGGUGCAGCAGGCGCGAAAACUUUACAAUGCUGGAAACAGCGAUAAGGGGACCUCGAGUGCCAGGUUACAAAUCUGGCUGUCGUGAUGCCUAAAAAGCAUUGCAUAGCAAGGGCCGGGCAAGACCGGUGCCAGCCGCCGCGGUAACACCGGCGGCUCGAGUGGUAACCGUUAUUAUUGGGUCUAAAGGGUCUGUAGCCGGCCGGAUAAGUCUCUUGGGAAAUCCAGCAGCUCAACUGUUGGGCUUUCAGGAGAUACUGUCUGGCUCGAGGCCGGGAGAGGUGAGAGGUAC
rnacentral:rRNA from 1 species